UCUUCAAUGCUCUUACUGGGGGAAGGAGGUUGUUGGCCAAGAUCUCGUGAUACAUGGCCCCAUCCAUCCUCCCCUCAGUACGGUGCUGUCGUCCUGUCCCCUUUGCAGAAAAGCAUCCCCAAAGAAUGAUGUUUCCACCUCCAUGCUUCAUCGUUGGGAUGGUGUUCUUGGGGUUGUACUUAUCCUUCUUCUUCCUCCAAACACGAUCAUCCAGAUGGUCAUUGGCACACUUCAGACGGGCCUGGACAUGCGCUGGCUUGAGCAGGGGGACCUUGAGUGCGCUGCAGGAUUUUAAUCCAUGACAGCGUAGUGUGUUACUUAUGGUUUUCUUUGAGACUGUGGUCCCAGCUCUCUUCAGGUCAUUGACCAGAUCAUGCCGUGUAGUUCUUGGCUGAUCCCUCACCUUCCUCAUGAUCAUUGAUGCCCCACCAGGUGAGAUCUUGCAUGGAGCCCCAGACCUAGGGAGAUUGACAAUCAUCUUGAACUUCUUCCAUUUUCUAAUAAUUGCGCCAACAGUUGUUGCCUUCUCACAAAGCUGCUUGCCUAUUGUCGGAAUUCUUACUGGUUGGUAGGUGAUCAAAUACUUAUGUCAUGCAAUAAAAUGCACAUUUAUUAUUUAAAAAUCAUAAAAUGUGAUUUUCUGGAUUUUUUUCUCUCACAGUUGAAGUGUACCUAUGAUACGAAUUACAGACCUCUACAUGCUUUGUAAGUAGGAAAACCUGCAAAAUCGGUAUGCCCUGUUCUUAGAAUCGAUUAGGGCCACAACCAAGGCGCCUUAUCAAUGACCCUGUUCAGUUGACACCAAGGAAAAUCUGCCUGUGUCUACACUGUAUUCUUCCUUUCGUGUAGGGGUAGUUCAGAUCAGGAGGUCUGGUAACUAUGACCUAGAACUGUGGUUGCCAUGGCAGUAUAGGGUUCUGUCUUGUUUUCCUAUUUAUUAUGACGACUUGUUUUGUAUGUAUCUUAUAGCAUUAGAGAUAAUAUUUUUGGGGCUGACAGGAGGAGUAUAAAGAGCUAGAAGCCAUAAUAUGUAAUCAGAACAAUUGUUAUGACACUACUCUGUUGGUCUCUAUACUUAUACUCUGUUUUGUGGAAGCAAUUGUUCCCGUGGAUCCACGGGAUCCAAUAAUCAACCGUUAUACCAGACUCUGAGAAGUUUUUACUUGUAUAAAUCGCGAAAAUUUUCCACAUAACCUAAAUUUAAAGAGACGUUUAAAUAUAGCUAUAGUUCAUAUAUUUUGACAUACAAUGCUUAGAUUUCCAUUGUCCAAUAAAUGUUUUAACAUUACCAUUCUCUAAAAUGACUAACUAAUACUGUAAAUGUGCAGAAAUUCCUUUUUAAUUAAAAGUACAUACACUCACCUAAAGGAUUAUUAAUUAAUUUCUCAUUAAUGCAAUUAUCUAAUCAACCAAUCACAUGGCAGUUGCUUCAAUGCAUUUAGGGGUGUGGUCCUG
ensembl:lncRNA